AGCAGACAUUUCAUUUAUCAGUCCGAAAAAGUAAAAUGAGUACAUUAAAACUACAUUAAAUAUUAUAUGGCGUCACGCCCGUCAGGAUUUUGAUUGGUUGGCGAAACACCGACUUCAGAAAUCCAUCCGCAGCCCUGAAAAACGGUGGAAACAUUUACAAGACUACGGAGGAUUAAGAACUGGAAGUCACCUGUACAGGUAGACUUUGCUCUCUGAGCAGGAACACGUGCGGUAUUAGAUGAACGUUAUUACGGAAGUCCUCGUUUGUAAGUCUUCGGUGGAUGGGACUCAUGAAUGAAUAGCAUUGCAUCAUGGAUGCUCAAAAAGAAGAUAGAUGUCUUGAUCUCAUCAUCAAAAAAUGUACAAUUCCUCAGCUUCUCUAUGAUAUACGCUGGAAACGACAUGUCAAAGAAUGAACACAGCUGCCAUACCGCUUUAAGACCCUUGAGUGCAGAUAUAUCCAGGAAUGAGACCACAGAGAAGUCCAGGAUCAAACUGUGGAUGUUCACUGGAGGAACUCGGAUGUUGGCAGGAAGUUCUGCACUCCAGUUCACCUGCAUCGGAAGAUCUGAAUAGUCUGUGGGCUUGUCUAGAUCCUCCAUGUUGCUUUCAUCCUCUGACUCUUCGAUGGGCAUUGAGCAUGUGGCCUGUAGUCCGUUCUAUAUCCGAAAGAAGUCAAAUUAACUUUUGAUAGAUAUCUCAUUAAGAUUUAGAAAUCUUAGAUGUAGGUAUCAAAGCACUAGAUACAAUACAUCCACAUUACAUAACAUCUAUCUGGGAUUCCUUGAGUUUGUUAUAAUCAUGUUUUCAAACUUCAAGACGUACAGAUGUUAAGUUAAUUAGAUCUGUCAGAACUUACAAUUGAGCCCUGAAGACCACAGUGAGGAGCUCCAGUCCAAGACCAACAGCAAGUCCUAAGUCCAGCCCCAAGAAUAUAGCAGCCAGACAGGUCCCCACCCAAACAAUCUGGAGGAAAAAGAUAGUGCACCGAGAAUGGAAAUCAGUGAAACUCUAUACCAUUAGACAGAUGAUUUGUAGAUUUAGAGGUCAAAGGCUCUUACGCAGUCAGGACGGUCUUUCUUCCACAGACUCUUUGUAAGGAUCUAAAUUCGCCAAGAUGAUCUUUUAGCAGGCCCUCAAAAGCAGUGAUGUUGGCAGGCAGACCCUCAUCGGGCACCAAUCUGGUCACUACUGCCCCCACCAUGAGACUCAGUACAGGGAAAGCUCCUGGUCUAAAGGAUCCUCAUCAUUUCCAGUGGAGGUUUCCAGCUGAAUGAACAGAAUGGCGUCAUGGACAGAAAGGAAGAGAAUGUCUCUAGUAACCUCCUCGUCAAAGAAGGACAGGGCCUCCAUUCUCCUGACCAUCUGACCUGUGACACAAGGAACCUUUAGGUUAUUCACCGCGUCCUAACCUGCCAUUAUCAGGCUGGAGUUUGUAGCAAUAGCUUGUUGCAACAUACUGUUAUAGAGUCAGGCCUUACCAUCACCACCUGCGAUGUAGACGCUGACCCCAAUUCGUAUGAAUUCCUUCACCACCUGUGAAGAUGGGAAAUGACGAAUUAGCUUCUGCUUGGUUUAGCUCCACAUCAUUACAAACCUUUCUUAUUUGAAACACACAAGAAAAUAUUUUGAUGACAAUAUGUUGAAAGUCAGUGGGGUUCAAAACAACACCGGACUCCAUUGACUUUCAUUGAAUAGACUUUUUUUUAUCAAAAUAUCAUCUUUGGUGUUCUGUGGAAGACUGAAAGUCAUACAGGUUUGGAAAGACAUGAAGGUCACUUUCAUAUUGUGGAUAUGCAUUAUUGCAAAUAAACAAUGACUCCGUAAAGAGCAAUAAAGGUAAAGCAAUAAACACACCAGUUUGAGGGACUUGGCUGCUACUACGUCCAGGAAUGAGACAGCAGAAAAGUCCAGCACAAGGCUGUGAAUAUUGACCGUGGGUACUGACACACUGACAGGCAGCUCAGACGUCCAGUCUACCUGAACCUUCACCUCUGAGUCUGACUGAGACGCCCCUUCGUCCAGCUCAGAAACCUGCUCUGUUUCAAAGGCUUGGUUUUCUACUCCCAGUGAGGCCACUGGCACCACACCAUUCUGUGAAGGACAGCACGGGAAAAGACCAGCCAGCAGACCCACAUCUAGACCCAGCACAAUGGAUGCCAGGCACGUAGCUAUCCAGAUGAGCUGCAGAAGUAUUAGGAUUCAUAUGCACUCACGUCAAACGAGUGUAAUCGAAUUUUUAUACAAAUAAAUUGAUCCACAAGAUUCAAUUUGCUUAAGAGUACAGGCACUUCUGAGAUCUGCAUGAACAUGCCCUUCAGGUUGGCUAUAACAAUGCCAGCCAGCACUGACUGUGGGACAGAGAGGGGUGACAUCAUGAGCUGCAUGAAGAAUAUUGCAGCCCUCAUCAGGAAGCAGGAAAUGCCACAGGAAGUACUCUUACCCCCUGGGGAGGCUGUGGACAAUGCUGGCGCCGAACUGAGAGUUUAGGUCCAUCACAUGAGAGACUGCAGAAGCUAUCACUGUCUGACAGUUCGAAAGAGUGAAAGAUAAUGACAGUCAUUAUUAAAAAAAAAAAAUCAUGUCCGUAUCAGAGCCCUACAGGCAUACGGUAGUUUGUUUUUAUGGGAGAAUUGUAGGAAAACUGUACAUACCACAAUC